UACGGAAGGCAGCAGUGGGGAAUAUUGGACAAUGGGCGAAAGCCUGAUCCAGCCAUGCCGCAUGAGUGAAGAAGGCCUUCGGGUUGUAAAGCUCUUUUAGUGAGAAAGAUAAUGACGGUACUCACAGAAGAAGUCCUGGCUAACUCCGUGCCAGCAGCCGCGGUAAUACGGAGAGGGCUAGCGUUAUUCGGAAUUAUUGGGCGUAAAGAGCGCGUAGGCUGAUUAGUAAGUUAAAAGUGAAAUCCCAAAGCUUAACUUUGGAAUUGCUUUUUAAAACUGCUAGUCUAGAGAUUGAAAGAGGAUAGAGGAAUUCCUAGUGUAGAGGUGAAAUUCGUAAAUAUUAGGAGGAACACCAGUGGCGAAGGCGUCUAUCUGGUUCAAAUCUGACGCUGAGGCGCGAAGGGCGUGGGGAGCAAACGAGGGAUUAGAUACCCGU
rnacentral:rRNA from 1 species